UGGGGAAUUUUGGACAAUGGGCGAAAGCCUGAUCCAGCAAUGCCGCGUGUGUGAAGAAGGCCUUCGGGUUGUAAAGCACUUUUGUCCGGAAAGAAAUCCUUGGCUCUAAUACAGUCGGGGGAUGACGGUACCGGAAGAAUAAGCACCGGCUAACUACGUGCCAGCAGCCGCGGUAAUACGUAGGGUGCAAGCGUUAAUCGGAAUUACUGGGCGUAAAGCGUGCGCAGGCGGUUUUGCUAAGACCGAUGUGAAAAUCCCCCGGGCUCAACCUGGGAACUGCAUUGGUGACUGGCAGGCUAGAGUAUGGCAGGAGGGGGGUAGAAUUCCACGUGUAGCAGUGAAAUGCGUAGAGAUGUGGAGGAAUACCGAUGGCGAAGGCAGCCCCCUGGGCCAAUACUGACGCUCAUGCACGAAAGGCGUGGGGAGCAAACAGGAUUCAGAUACCCUGGUAGUCCCAGCGCCCUAAACGAUGUCAACUA
rnacentral:rRNA from 1 species